GACGAACGCUGGCGGCGGGCUUAACACAUGCAAGUCGAACGGAAAGGCCCUGCUUUUGUGGGGUGCUCGAGUGGCGAACGGGUGAGAAACACGUGAGUAACCUGCCCUUGACUUUGGGAUAACUUCAGGAAACUGGGGCUAAUACCGGAUAGGAGCUCCUGCUGCAUGGUGGGGGUUGGAAAGUUUCGGCGGUUGGGGAUGGACUCGCGGCUUAUCAGCUUGUGGGUGGGGUAGUGCCUUACCAAGGCUUUGACGGGUAGCCGGCCUGAGAGGGUGAGCGGCGACCCUGGGACUGCGGUACGGCCGCGACUCCUACGGGGGGCAGCAGUGGGGAAUCUUGCACAAUGCGCGGAAGCUUGAUGCAGCAACGCCGCGAGCGGGAUGGCGCUCUUCGGGUUGUAAACCGCUUUUGACUGUGACGAAGCGUGAGUGACGGUAAUGGAUAAAAUAGGACCGGCUAACUACGUG
rnacentral:rRNA from 1 species